CCAAACUCCUACGGGAGGCAGCAGUGAGGAAUAUUGGUCAAUGGGCGAGAGCCUGAACCAGCCAAGUAGCGUGCAGGAUGACGGCCCUAUGGGUUGUAAACUGCUUUUAUAAGGGAAUAAAGUGAGUCUCGUGAGGCUUUUUGCAUGUACCUUAUGAAUAAGGACUGGCUAAUUCCGUGC
rnacentral:rRNA from 1 species